AUUGAACGCUGGCGGCAUGCCUUACACAUGCAAGUCGAACGGUAACAGGUCUUCGGUUGCUGACGAGCGGCGGACGGGUGAGUAAUACAGCGGAACGUGCCCAAACGCGGGGGGGAACGAGGCGAAAACUUUGCUAAUAACCCAUACGAGCUUAGGGUGAAAGCAGCGGACAGCAAGACCUUCUGCCUUUGGAGCGGCCGAUGGCCGAUUAGGUAGUUGGUGGGUUAAAAGCUUACCAAGCCGACGAUCUGUAGCUGGUCUGAGAGGACGACCAGCCACACUGGGACUGAGACACGGUCCAGACUCCUACGGGAGGCAGCAGUGGGGAAUUUUGGACAAUGGGCGAAAGCCUGAUGCAGCAAUGCCGCGUGCAGGAUGAAGGCCUUCGGGUUGUAAAGUGCUUUUGUCCGGGACGAAAAGACUCUGGCUAAUACCUGUGGCAAAUGACGUUACCGGAAGAAUAAGCACCGGCUAACUCCGUG
rnacentral:rRNA from 1 species